rnacentral:misc_RNA from 1 species
GAAAUGCGUUAAGUAAUGUGAAUUGCAGAAUUCAGUGAAUCAUCGAAUCUUUGAACGCACCUUGCGCUCCUUGGUAUUCCUUGGAGCAUGCCUGUUUGAGUAUCAUGAAAUCUUCAAAGUAAAUCUUUUGUUAACUCAAUUGGUUUCCACUUUGGUAUUGGAGGUCUUUGCAGCUUCACACCUGCUCCUCUUUGUUCAUUAGCUGGAUCUCAGUGUUAUGCUUGGUUCCACUCGGCGUGAUAAGUUAUCUAUCGCUGAGGACACUGUAAAAGGUGGCCAAGGUAAAUGCAGAUGAACCGCUUCUAAUAGUCCAUUGACUUGGACAAUACUUUUAUGAUCUGAUCUCAAAUCAGGUAGGACUACCCGCUGAACUUAAGC